rnacentral:rRNA from 1 species
GUGGGGAAUCUUGCGCAAUGGGCGAAAGCCUGACGCAGCCAUGCCGCGUGAAUGAUGAAGGUCUUAGGAUUGUAAAAUUCUUUCACCGGGGACGAUAAUGACGGUACCCGGAGAAGAAGCUCCGGCUAACUUCGUGCCAGCAGCCGCGGUAAUACGAAGGGGGCUAGCGUUGCUCGGAAUUACUGGGCGUAAAGGGCGCGUAGGCGGACAGCUUAGUCAGAGGUGAAAGCCCAGGGCUCAACCUUGGAAUUGCCUUUGAUACUGGCUGUCUUGAGUUUGGGAGAGGUGAGUGGAACUCCGAGUGUAGAGGUGAAAUUCGUAGAUAUUCGGAAGAACACCAGUGGCGAAAGCGGCUCUCUGGUCUGUAACUGACGCUGAGGUUCGAAAGCGUGGGUAGCAAACAGGAUUAGAAACCCGGGUAGUCC